CCUACGGGAGGCAGCAGUGGGGAAUUUUGGACAAUGGGCGAAAGCCUGAUCCAGCCAUGCCGCGUGCAGGAUGAAGGCCUUCGGGUUGUAAACUGCUUUUGUACGGAACGAAAAGGUUUGGCCUAAUAAGCGAGUCUCAUGACGGUACCGUAAGAAUAAGCACCGGCU
rnacentral:rRNA from 1 species